AUGUUCACUUUGGCAGCAUGUAUACUAAAAUUGGAACAGUGCAGGGAAGAUUAACGUGGCCCCUGUACAAGGAGGAUGUGCAGAUUCACACAGCGUUCCAUAUUUUU
ensembl:snRNA U6 U6 spliceosomal RNA